rnacentral:rRNA from 1 species
ACCCACCUGAUUCCAUGCCGAACUCAGAAGUGAAACGAAUUAGCGCCGAUGGUAGUGUGGGGUCUCCCCAUGUGAGAGUAGGACAUCGCCAGGC